AAACCAGCACCUCAAGUGGUCAGGAGGAUUAUUGGGCCUAAAGCAUCCGUAGCCUGUUCUAUAAGUUUCCGGUUAAAUCCACUAGCUCAACUAGUGGGCUGCCGAAAAUACUGUAGAACUAGGGAGUGGGAGAGGUAGACGGUAUUCGGUAGGAAGGGGUAAAAUCCUUUGAUCUAUUGAGGACCACCUGUGGCGAAGGCGGUCUACCAGAACACGUUCGACGGUGAGGGAUGAAAGCUGGGGGAGCAAACCGAAUUAGAAACCCCGGUAGUCC
rnacentral:rRNA from 1 species